rnacentral:rRNA from 1 species
CAGCACCUCAAGUGGUCAGGAGGAUUAUUGGGCCUAAAGCAUCCGUAGCCGGCUCUGUAAGUUUUCGGUUAAAUCCAUGUGCUCAACACAUGGGCUGCCGAAAAUACUGCAUAGCUAGGGAGUGGGAGAGGUAGACGGUACUCGGUAGGAAGGGGUAAAAUCCUUUGAUCUAUCGAUGACCACCUGUGGCGAAGGCGGUCUACCAGAACACGUUCGACGGUGAGGGAUGAAAGCUGGGAGCAAACCGGAUUAGAUACCCGGGUAGUCU